rnacentral:rRNA from 1 species
AUUGAACGCUGGCGGCAUGCCUUACACAUGCAAGUCGAACGGCAGCACGGGAGCAAUCCUGGUGGCGAGUGGCGAACGGGUGAGUAAUAUAUCGGAACGUGCCCAGUCGUGGGGGAUAACGCAGCGAAAGCUGUGCUAAUACCGCAUACGAUCUAUGGAUGAAAGCGGGGGAUCGCAAGACCUCGCGCGAUUGGAGCGGCCGAUAUCAGAUUAGCUAGUUGGUGAGGUAAAGGCUCACCAAGGCGACGAUCUGUAGCUGGUCUGAGAGGACGACCAGCCACACUGGAACUGAGACACGGUCCAGACUCCUACGGGAGGCAGCAGUGGGGAAUUUUGGACAAUGGGCGCAAGCCUGAUCCAGCAAUGCCGCGUGCAGGAUGAAGGCCUUCGGGUUGUAAACUGCUUUUGUACGGAGCGAAACGGCCUACCCUAAUACGGUGGGCUAAUGACGGUACCGUAAGAAUAAGCACCGGCUAACUACGUGCCAGCCGCCGCAGUAA